UACGGGGGGUGCGAGCGUUGUCCGGAAUCACUGGGCGUAAAGGGCGCGUAGGUGGUUUGAUAAGGGUGUGGUGAAAGUCCGGAGCUCAACUCCGGAUCUGCCGUGCCGACUGUCAAACUCGAGGGCUGUAGAGGCAGACGGAAUUCCGGGUGUAGCGGUGGAAUGCGUAGAGAUCCGGAAGAACACCGGUGGCGAAGGCGGUUAGCUGGGCAGUUGCUGACACUGAGGCGCGACAGCGUGGGGAGCAAACAGG
rnacentral:rRNA from 1 species